rnacentral:lncRNA from 1 species
UUUAAGCGAUAGGCUGGUCCUUUUUUAAAAAAUUAUUUCAUAAAUAGUAUAGCCGUUCGGCCAUACGUGGUUUUUUAAGUUUUUAAAAAAAAUAGCAUACUCGGUUUAUAAUUUUUUUAAUAAAUCGUAUAGCCGUGCGGCUGUACGGGGUUCUUUUAAUUUUUUUUAAUAAAUAGUACAGGGUUCUUUUUUAAUUUUUUUAAUAAAUCAUAUAGCCGUCUGGCCUUACUCAGUUUUUUAUUUUAUUUUUAUAAAAAUAGUAUAGCCGUGCGGCUAUACCAGUUUCAAACACGUGGGCUCCUAGCGCUUGGCGGGUCCUCUUUUUUUUAAUUUUUUAAAGAAAAUACUAUAGCCGCGCGGGUAUACUGGGCUCUUUUUAUUUAUUUUAAUAAAUAGUAUAGCCGGCCGGCUAUACUUGGUCUUUUUCUAAUUUUUUUUUUAAAUAUUUUAAAAAUGGCAUAGCCCAACACUAAAAUGAAGCUUAAAAUGUAAAUCACAAAUAAUGUUUUCUUAAUUUUUGUCAACUUCAUUAUAGAAAUUUUUUUAUAAAUUUUAUUUAAAUUCUUAUGUUUUGGGGGUUGAAGAAGAAUACAUUGGGCCUGUUAAAUAUAAAGAAACCUCAACUCAAAUUUACGUAAUUAGUUCUAAAAAUAAUAAAAGCUACAAAGUUGGGCUUUUACUAAAAAUAAGAACAUCAGGGGAGACGGGGCAUUUAUCUGCAGCUCACCCUCACUCACCCAAGUUCAUUCGAGAUGGAGAGACACGUUCAUGGUGGACUUUGGGUUCCCUGUUCGGCUUUUCUUUGUGGACUUUGACUGCUGCCAUUGAAGGAAGUAACAGGCUUGUAUCUGAGGUGUGUUUUACAACUCUCUUUCUCUGCCUGUGAGUUUUUUCUUUCAAAAUAUUUGUACUUUGUUUAUACCAUUCUUUCAAGCAUUCUGAUUGUGGUUUUGGGUUCGUAAUUUUACUUCUUUUGGGUAAGAUGAGGUUAAGGGUAUCUGAAAAAGAAUUUCAUUGAUGCAAAAUUUUAAAGGCAACAUGCUACUAUGAUAUAAAAAUGUGUUGCUUUAUACAGUAUUUACAUAAAUUAAUCGAUAAGGAAUAAAAAAAUCUUGAGUCCUGCACAUGAAGUUGCUGUUCAUAUCAAUUAGUGAUUCAUUGCCACUACAGGGCUUGAUACAAUGUGGUUAUAUUGAUCUACCCAUUUGAGAUAACCAUAGGUCGUGUUCGGAGCAUUGCUUUCGAUCUCUAAGCUCAAGCGAAAAAGUUGCUUCGGAUGUCUUUUAGUGAAUUUUAGAGUGUUAGGCUCCACUGCAAUCCUCAUUCCGCUAGGAACUUCCAAAACUGCUCUAUAAAUUGAUUUUGUAUUUCCCACAUUUGUCACAACCCUGCUAAAGUUUUUGGCUAUUGGGAAGUCUUUUCCAUCGAAGAUGGCCAUAAAAGAAGGGUAGUUUAGUUCCGUAGGUUGUGCGCUGCAACUCCAACGCCAUCGUCGAAUAACAGCCCUCAUCUGCUUAGCAUUGUACUCAAGGCCACAUAGGAACUCAAUGUAAUCUUGCACAUCCAUGUCAUAGAUUAGUCCAGGGUCCAUGGCCUUGUUUGGGUUGAUGUGGCCUGCCCCAAAAUCUAAGGGCGUGGCGGGAAGACUGCCCCUUUGGUCUUUGAUGGUGGUAUGAGUAUUGUCAUCUGUGUAUGCUGUGGUCAUGAUCGCUGAUCGGAUGGCUGCAGGGCUCCAUUCUCGGUGAACAGCUUUCAGCAAGGCUGCCACUCCAGCAACAUGGGGUGCUGCCAUUGAUGACCCUGGCAUCAAUGCAUAAUCUGUUGCCAAAUCGUAGUUGUUUACGCUAAAUAUGUAUUUCUUGUUAGUUGGAAAUGCAGCCAGCACAUCGACCCCUGGAGCAAUAAUGUCUGGUUUUAGAAUACUUGGAUUGUUUGGGUCCGGUCCUCUUGAAGAGAAAUGGGCCACUUGUGGUGCUGGUUUUGCACCAAACUUUGUGUGCACAAAAGCCAGGCUCUUAGCUUGAGUUGCGCUGACCUUUGUUACAUGUUCUCUAAUCAAAGCCCCUGUAUCAGAUGACAGAACCAUAGCAGGAAUGUUGAACUCUUCUGGGACCAUAGUUGAGAGAUUGGUCAUGAAGAUUCCAGCAAAAGCACCUGCCUUUUCUACGUGUUCCUUUU